GCCGCUGUAGCACUCGGACCCUGCUUCUCCAAGCCGCGCAUGGUUACAGGCCGCUGCGCCCCCCCGCUGAUUUCCGCUUCCGCUUCCGUGCUUUGGCGCCUGCGCAGUUGUCGCAAAGUGCGGGGUCUUGGAGAACGACCUCAAUGGCGGCCCAGUACCUCGUGGAGGCUGGGUAUCCUAACGCUGCGCGGCCCCACCGUUCACCCAUCGUGCGGCGACGGCGGUCUCGCGACAGCAUGCAGUGUGCCCUCCGAAGGGCUCUAGCUGUCCUGGAACACUCUCUGUAGUCCAGGCUAGCUUCAAACUCAGAGAUUCGCCUUCCUCUGCCUCCGGAGUGCUGGGGUUUUAAAGGUGUGCGACAUCGUGCCAAGCUUGUCACCUCAGCCUUUUGAACUGUUAUUCCAAGGUAACAAGACGAUUAUGAAAUCCUUUUUUUGUUGUUUGUCUUAGUUUUGAGACAAGGUCUUUCUAUGUAGCCCAGGCUGGCCUCAAACUUGGUGAUCCUCUGCCUUUCUCUCCCAAAUGCUAGAUUCUAGAUGCUCAGCACCAAGCCUAACUCCAACCUUGUCAAAUGAUAAUUUUCCCCUUACAUUUAUGUAUUUUAUGUGGGAGGGAAGUGCAUGUAACACGUGUUUGUGUGUGUGCGCGUGUGUGCAUGUGUGUAUUGUGUAUGUGUGUGUGCGCACGUGUGUGUGUGUAUACGUGUGUGUUGUGUAUAUGUGUGUAUGUGUGUUUGUGUGUGUAUGUGUGUAUGUGUGUGUAUGUGUGUUUGUGUGUGUAUGUGUGUGUGGUGUGUGUGUAUACAUAUGUAUUUGUGUGUGCGUGUAUGUGUGUGGUGUGUGUGUGUAUGUGUGUGUAUACAUGUGUUUGUGUGUGUAUGUGUGUGGUGUGUGUGUAUGUGUGUGUAUGUGUGUGUGGUGUGUGUGUAUAUGUGUGUGUGCGUGCGUGUGUGUGUAUAUACUUGUGUGUGUGCGUGUGUGUGUAUAUGUGUGUGGUGUGUGUAUGUAUGUGUGUAUGUGUGUGUAUACAUGUGUGUGUAUGUGUGUGGUGUGUGUGUGCGUGUGUGUGUGUUUGUGUGUGUAUGUGUGUACGUGUGUGUGGUGUGUGUAUACGUGUGUGUGUGCGUGUGUGUGUAUGUGUGUGUAUGUGUGUGAUGUAUGUGUGUGUGUGUAGUGUGUAUGUGUGCGUGUGUGUGUGUGUGCGUGUGUGUGUGUGUAGUUGUACACUCGUGAGUCUGGAGACGUAGGGGCCCCUGUGGAGCGGGCUAUAGGUACUUUCAAGUAGCUCCAUGUGGAUGGUAAGAACUAAAUUUGUGUCCUUGGCAAAAGCAAUAUGUAUUUUUUAACUGUUAAUCUCUCUCUCCAGCUCCACAGUGUUUUACUCUGUAGUGCAAAGCCUGGCCUGGAGUUCACAGCAAUCCUCCUGCCUUUGCUUCUCAGGUUGUAUGAUUUUUAGGUGUGAGCCAUCAUGCCGUGUAUCCUCUCUUUUUUUAUUAUUAUUUUUUAAAUGUAUUCUUCUCUCAUAUAUUACAUCCAGAUCACAGUUUCUCCUCCCUUCCUUCCCCCCACAUCCCCUCUUCCACAGAUGCACUUCUCCUCUGUUUCCCUUUAGAAAAGAGCGGGGGCCCCAUGGUUAUCAACCAAACAAAACAAGUUAUAACAAGUUACAACAGGACUAGGUGUACAUCUUCACAUCAAGGCUGAACUCAGUAGGAGGAAAAGGGUCCCAAGAGCAGGCAAAAGAGUCAGUCUUUGUGUUUCAAUUUGCGUUCUCACUAAGCCCUGUGAAGCAUUAAAGUCCCGAUCUCCCAACACCACCUCUUGAGCGCUUGUAUGCACCACCAAAUCAGACCUAAAGUACCCUUUAAACACUGGCAAAACCAAUAAAGGGUAACAGAAGCUUCCCUGGAUGUCUGCCGCAGGGGCUGAUGGAGACACAGAGAAAGAAAGCAGGGGAAGUUUCUUGUGUCACGACUCUACUGCUGUGACCUUGGGCAAGAGAGUUAACCCACUGGACUCUACAUUAGAAGCAAACACACAAAGAAAAAACACACGGGGGGGUUGGGGAUUUAGCUCAGUGGUAGAGUGCUUGCCUAGCAAGCGCAAGGCCCUGGGUUCGGUCCCCAGCUCUGAAAAAAAAAUAAAAAAUAAAAAAUAAAUUUAAAGCAAAAACACACAGGCACAACACCAGGCGACUCGGACGACUGUUGUGAAGGUUGUGUGAGCAGGAGCACCGCCGUGCCACACCCACGCUCACUCCCCUCUUAGGAAAGGAACCUACCCAAGUUGCCAUUGUGACGUCUGCCUCCCCUGUGCCUCAGCUUUUCUCUUCUUCAGUUGUUCUCUGUUUCUCAAACUCCAAGAUCCAAUGAUGUCUGCCGGGUGAAAAGCGAAGUUACUGCAGUGUGUACCGGUGACCCAUGGUGUGCCUAAGCAAAUAUCUCACCACACAAGCUUGGUCACAAGUUAUGAUUUAUUUACCUUUACAUCAUAUUAUUUCCCACGGACAGGUGUUUUUGCCUGCGUGUGUGUCUGUGCCCCACAGGAAUGAAUGGCUGGUGCCUAAGGAAGCCAGCAGAGGACAUCAGAUUCCCUAGAUCUGGAGUUAGAGACAGUUGGGAGCUGCCAUGUGGGCGCUGAGAAUUGAACCCAGGUCCUCUGGAAGAGAAAACAGCCAGUGCUCCUAACUGCUGAGCCAUCUCUCCAGAUACCUACAGAAUUUUAGAAAUACUACCCUGGGUUUUGUCCUGGAUUUAUGAGUUCAAGGACUAGGUCUUCCCUAUCCUUACACAGUCAAAAAAAAAAAAAAAAAAAAAAAAAGAAAAGAAAAGAAAUGUGGAGAAGAUUCUUUUUUUCUUUUUUUAGAUAGGGGUCUCAGUAUGUAGCCUGGACCUGGAACUUGUGUAGGCUAGCCUUGGACUCACAGCUCCACCUGUCUCUGCACUAGGAGCGCUGAGAUUAAAGACUUACAGCAACAUACCCAGGGAGCAAAACAGUUUUCUUUAGUUUUUAGGGUUUUUUGUUUGUUUGUUUUGUUUUUUGAGACAGGGUUUCUUUGUGUAGCCCUGGCUGUCCUGGAACUUGCUCCAUAGACCAGGCUAGCCUCAAACUCAAGAGAUCCACCUGCUUCUGCCUCCUAAGUUCUGGGAUUAAAGGCUGGAGCAGGCAUUUAAUGAGCAUUUAAGUGUGAAAAGCUUUGAGACCUACACAGAUUUGUUCAGAAGUGUGCUAUCAACCUACUGACCCACUCAAAAUAAAUUUAUAUUUGCACAGGUAAUUUUUUAAAAGGCUUUAUUCUAUCGUUUCUGACAUAAUGACCUGUCUUUACUGCAUUCACUCUCUCCAUCCAUGCCACAUAUUACAGAGUAGUGAUUUUUACCAAGAUUUUUAUCUUUUAUUCAUCCAACAUUAGGUCAAAAACAGUUCUGUGACACAGCCUUCAACACUAUAAUCUUCUUGUGACAUGGUGCUUAAGCUAGGUGACACCUUCUCUGGCCACUCAGCCCACUCAUGGGAAAACACAGAAUAUCAUUACCACUUGUCAUUUUUCCUUAUAUGUAAAACUGUAAUAAAAUCAACUCAUAGCCUGGCAUGAUGGGGCACACCUUUAAUCCCAUCUCUCGGGAGGCAGAGGCAGGAAGAUCUCUGAGUUCGAGGCCAGCCUGGUCUACAGAGUGAGUUCCAGGACAGCCAGGGCUACACAGAGAAACCCUAUCAUAAAAGACCAAAUAAUAAUAUCCAACUGAAGUAAGCAUAUUCACAUAACUGUUUUUUUUUUCUCUUGGAGGAAUGGUAGACAGGGUCUCUCUCUGGUACAUCCCUGGCUGGCCUCGAAUUCCUUAUCCUAACUCUGCUGGGACCAGAGACAUGUACCAGCAAACCCUGCUCGACUGAUGCUUUUAUUAUUAGAUUCUGCCCUUACGGUUGUAUUUAUUAAAAAUUAUUUGGGGGGGGCUGGAGAGAUGGCUCAGCGGUUAAGAGCACGGACUGGGGGUUGGGGAUUUAGCUCAGUGGUAGAGUGCUUGCCUAGGAAGCACAAGGCCCUGGGUUCGGUCCCCAGCUCCGAAAAAAAGAACCCAAAAAAAAAAAAAAAAAAAAAAAGCACGGACUGCUCUUCUAGAGGUCCUGAGUUCAAAUCCCAGCAACCACAUGGUGGCUCACAACCAUCUGUAAAGAGAUCCGAUGCCCUCUUCUGGUAUGUCUAAAGACAGCUACGGUGUACUCACAUACAUACAAUAAAUAAAAAAAAUCUUAAAAAAAUUAUUUGGGACACUAAGGGUACUAUGAACAGCAAAUUCUGGGCUGAGAUGAUGGCUCAUCAGGUAAAGCACUUACCACAGAAACAUGAGGACCAGAGUUCAUACAUAUCCAGUGCCCAUACUUAUAUGGGUUAAGUGGGUAUUGUUGGCCUGCAUGUGAUCCUAGUUUGUAAGGCCUGAGACAGGGGUCCCCAAAGUUAACCAGCUAGGUCAUCUAGUCAAACUAGCAAGCUCUGGGUUCAGUGUGAGACUCUAACUCAAUAUCUAAGGUAGAGAACAAUGAGUGAAACAGACACCUGAUGUCAAACUCUGGCCUAAGCACACAUGCCUAUGUGUCUGUACCCACUGUGCGCACAAAUACAGACAUAUCCACAUGUAUGACAAUGUACAACACUACACAAUUUUUCAAGAAAAAAAAUUUUAAGUCUACUAUGACCUAAAUUUGAGAAAAACUAGUAGUUCUUUAACACAGAGCCUCUCAGCAUGUGGGGGUGUCUGCUCUGCACUGGCAGUCCAAGAAAGGAAGUGCCCUUGGACCAGGACUCCUGUUGUUCUUGGGGCAACAGUUUGCUUUCUUUCUCUCUCUCUUCCUUCCUUCCUUCCUUCCUUCCUUCCUUCCUUCCUUCCUUCCUUCUUUCCUCCCUCCUUCCUUCCUUCCUUUCCUUCUUUCUCUCUUCCUUCCUCCCUCUCUCCCUCCCCCCCUCUCUCUUCCUUCCUUCCUUCCUUCCUUCCUUCCUUCCUUCCUUCCUUCCUUCCUCCUUAUCUAGUAGCACUGGGAAUUUAACCGAGAGCCUCACACAUGCUAGUCAAGCAUUAUGCUACUGAACUAUGUUCCCAGCUCCUGGAUCCUCAAUAGAUAUAAAUUAUAUUUUUACCAAACUCCAAAUAUAAUUUUCUUCAAAGUAGGAAUGUGAGUAAAAAGCCACAGUGGUUUCAGCAGUGUGGCUGUCUAUCACUCAAAGAAAUGACGGGAUAUUUUUUUUCCUACUUGGCACUACAGUUCUUGCGUGUGGCGUCAGUGUGAUCACUUGUGGAUAUGGAUUCUUUUCGGAUUUGAUACUAUGUAUGCUAUGACUUAACACAUCUAUAAGUAAGCACAUAUACUGCUAUAUCACGAUUUUUUUUUUCUAUUCUUUUUUUCGGAGCUGGGGAUCGAACCCAGGGCCUUGCGCUUGCUAGACAAGCGCUCUACCACUGAGCUAAAUCCCCAACCCCUAUAUCAUGAUUUUAACAGUGUUGAUAGCCAUCUUAAUACAAUGAUGACCUUUGUGAUCGAGCCUGUGUAUUUAAGGUUUUUUAGUCCAAGAAAGAGUCUAUGGGUUCAUUAAAAGCUAAAAGUUUUCAAACUGUGCCCUAGGAUAACUUAGAGCCCAGGGUUCCACACAACACUUAGAGAAAUGUUACUUUAGAAUAGAUCUUAAGAUAAAUUAAAAGCCAAAAGAGUAAGCAUUCGGACAGGUCAGACCCUAGAGGAGUUCCUGUUGUCACAUCCUUCCAAACGUCCUGCCAACUGGCUCUGUCACAGAACAGGAGGAGUUGGAUCCUCCUGCCACAGCUGCCCAGUGCUGGGUAUCUCCACUCUCUCCCAUUUCAGAGAAUUUCUCACUAACAAUUUCUUUAUUUCCCCUCGGGUUGCUCUAGACUGUUAAGUUCCUAGCAUCCAAAUGCAGCUCAGUGAGUCAGGCCCAUCUUCCCACAGAUGCAUCCCACUGCCCCUUUCAUCUAACCAGUUCCCAAACAACUAAAAAAAGAAAAAAGAAAGAGGAAAGCAGCAUCCCCCAGCAGCCCCACUCUGUCUUUACCUGGAGCAUGGGACUUCUCUACAUGAGCUUCAGGGGUCUGGUUGAGCGUCAGAUGAGAUUGGUCCUUCCUCACAUCCAUCUUGCCACAACGCCUUCUUGGUAUUUGCUCCGACUUCACAAGCAACCUAAAAGCUUUUUGAAAAUAUCAAAACUAACACUUAAAAAAAAAAAAACCACAGACACACAUUCAAGUCUGCUUGUCACUUCCCGCCUAAAAGUUUUAUCUGGUUAGACCACAGCUGUGGGCGAAUUCCACUUUCUUUAUCACACUGCACAGGUGUGAAGGAGGGGGGAUGGUUGUCAAUGGCCCUGUCAUCCUGCAAGCUUCACUUUUAUACAGGGAACCCCUAUGGCACAGUCAGUCAUGUGGGGCUUCCUGCUCAGCAGCCAUACUGCUAUGUGCCUGGGUUCCUUUUUAGGACACCAAAUGGCUAUGCCAUUCCAAGCUGUGGCCGGAAGGAUGGCUUUUUCAUGAAUGGAGGUGGCCAUGUAUAGGAAGAACCCUGGGUUUAGGCUCUGACCAACUCCAUGGCCCAGAGCAACCCACAUCCCUUUCCUGUGCCUCUACUUGCCAAGUGAGUGAACAAUCACUCUUGCCUGUUUCAGACAUUUCUUAUGAAAGUGAAGCCUAUAGAGUUGGCUAUCGAUUAAUCUUCCUAGGUAGACUAUUGAUUAAUCUUCCUAGGACUGGCUCUUUUCACCGUAAGCUGUUGCAAACUAUCAGCAAGCCUUGCUGUUGUGACCCUAGAAUAGACAAUAGACACAAAGCCCUAACUAGGCUAACAAAGCUAACCUCCACUGCUCACCAGUCAAUGACUAGUGAAGCCUGCUGUUAACGGACCGGAGAGGCAGGUGGCGGGGGGAGCCUCUCUGAGUGAAAAGACCUGGCAUUAUGUUCCAGAAAUGAAGUUGAAAUCGAAGGAACUGCUCUCCAGCGGAUAAGUGGCCUGAAGACAGCAGUAGGCACAGGAAACCACGGCUCAGCCAAAGAGGGAAUAUGGAGGCCAAGGUCAGGAGACACAGGGCCCAUUGUGUUCUGGAGAUAGACUGAGAGGAAAAAGGUUUGAGUUCCAGAGCCUUCCUAGUUCAAGUUAGCCUGGAGCCAGCACAGACCUGGAACAUGGAGACGGUACCUUUGGUAUCUAACACACUCAUGUCAAUACAUGUUAGGUGCUUUACUAUUAGUAAGGACGUGGGCCCAGCACAGUGGCAUAAACUGCCAUCCUAGCACUUGACAGGUACAGUCAGAAGGGUCAGAAGUUCAAGGUUGUCCUCAGCUAUCUGUUUAAGAAGCUGGAAGUAGGGACCAGCCUGGGCUACAUGAGAACCUCUGUCUCCUUCCUCUACCUCUCUGGCUACCUUCUCUCUCUUUAUGUGCACAUGUACUAUAUACCUUCUCUAUGUUAUAUGUGGGUAUAAGAGAACACACAGAAAGGUGGUAAUUAGUAGAGUGUGGUGGCACACAUGAGUUUCUUAUUGAGUUUAACAUAACUCGAUCUACUUCCCUUCUUUAUUCUUGUUUGCUUUGAACAGGAUCACCAACCAGGCAGAACUCAACUCACCGUCCUCCUGCCUCAGAUUCCUGAGUGCUAGGAUUAGGUAUGUGUGAUAUCAUGGUAGCUGAGGAAUGUUGUUUGAAACAUUCUGAAAAGAAUUGGUGACAAUACAGCAAACCCCCAAGUCCCCACCACUAAAGUGUUACCUUUGCGGUAAACAAGCAAGGUUCACACCUCCUGUUCCUUACCUCUCCAUCUUGCAAGUAAAGUAUUGAAAAUCCAGGGAACUCUCAGGGGAGUGCUAGUCAGAGGGACCUCAUGGAGAAGAAUAAGAGGCAUUUUCUAAUAUACCUUUUAAAUGUUUUUGGUUUUCAUAUAUAGAAUUAAAGGCUUCGACGAUAUAAUCUUUGAAAAUUAUGUUUUAUAAUCUAGACCAGCAUUUUAAUUUUUAUUUAUUUAUUUAUUUUUUUUUUUUUGAGCUGGGGACCAAACCCAGAGCCUUGCGCUUGCUAGGCAAGUACUCUACCACUGGGCUAAAUCCCCAACCCCUAGACCAGCAUUUUAAAUGCUGUAACUCUUAGUUUGGUUUCUGGGUUUUGUUUUGUUAUUGUUUGGGCUUUUUCUGGUUUUCUGUUUGUUUGUUUUGGUUUGGUGUUUGUUUGUUUGUUUGUUUGUUUGUUUGUUGAGACAGAGUCUCUCUAUAUAGCUUUGGCUGUCCUGGAUCUUCCUAUGUGACUAGGCUAUCCUUGAAGUCAGAGUUCCACUUGCCUCUGCCUGCUGAGAUUAAAGUCAUGUGCCCCAUGUCUGGCCCUAGAAUGUUCUAAUUUUUAAUAGUUGGGUAAUAGUUCAAUAAAACAGUGUUAUAGAAUCCUUCUGAGAACACCUUCAGAGGAUGGCAGAACUAUUUCUAAAUCAGAUUUCCUCCAGAGUUCUUGAUACCUAUUCAGGGAUGGAGUAGACUGGACAGGAUGUGCACCCUGUGCUAUCUACCUUCUGAGCAAAAUUGUCAGGCCACAGAGGUGGGCAAUGUAGUCCCUGAGUUCUUUGUACUCAAAAGGGAUGGAGUACAUUAUUUUUUUAAAUCACAGUCUCAUGUAUCCCUGGUUGACCUUGAACUCAGUAUGUAGCUGAAGUUGAGUUUGGAAUGUCUUACCCUUCUCCCUCCCUCUCCAAUGCCAGGAGUACUAAAAUUACAAGUGGGGACCACCAUGCCGGGAGUAUCUGAUGAGAAGUCAGAACCCAAGACUUCAUGAAUGCUAGCUGAGUACUGUACCAACUGAGCAAGUUGCCAGCCCAAGGACACACAUCUUUAUUGGAAGGAGAUAGAACAUAGAUCCUUUGUACUCCAUGAAAACUCCCCAAGGUCAUUCUCUGUGGCUGCACCACUCUCCCUGUAUCUAGAAGCAGUGUGAGAGGCUCGGGAGGGUGGGGUCUCAAGUUGACAACAGACUGAGGGUGGAGGGAGCAGUAGAGACACUUUGGAGAAACCUAGAUUGGAAGUCAGGCAAGGUGUCUCUGAGGUGAUAAGGGUCAAGAGCGGGAAUUGGGACAGAAAUAGCCAUGCUGUGAGCCCAAGGGUACAAUCCUUCUGUGUCUGCCUCUGUUACUGAGUGUGAGGGGCCAAGCAUUGUACCCCUAGACCAGGUCUUUAUAACAAAGGCUGCCUUAUUCUAAAGCUAUGUGCAUAUGCACAUAAACCCUCCCUCGAGGCCACAAGCUCCUGGCAGGACAGGCAAUCACCAGUCCCGAGUCACCUGUUUGUCCCCAUAGCAUGAUCUCAAAGGAGACUUGACUCCAGUCAUCCCCACAAGUGGCCUCAGCUCUGUGUGUGCAGAGAGCUACCUGGGAAGAUGUCCCACUGCUGUGAAUUACUUAAAACAGGGCCACCAGCUAGCUAUUCAAGAGUUUUGUUUUUUUUUUUUAAAUCAAUGCCCAGCUCCAGGAGGCUGAGGUAGGAGGGUAUAAGGCUAGCCUGGGCUAUUAGUGAGACCUGUUUAAAAACUAAAAAAAAAAAAAAGUCCCUGACAUUAUGUAGUUUAUAGAUUAUUUAUUUGUUUGUACAGUUUUCUCUGUAUAGCCCUGGCUGUCCUGGAACUCACUCUGUAGACUAGGCUGGCCUCGAUUCAUAGAUCCGACUGCUUCUGCCUCCCAAGUGCUAAGAUAAAAAGUGUGCACCACCAAUGCCCAGCUUAGUUUACAGCCUUUAAAAAGAUGGUGACAGGGGUUGGGGAUUUAGCUCAGUGGUAGAGCGCUUGCCUAGCAAGCGCAAGGCCCUGGGUUCGGUCCCCAGCUCCGAAAAAAAAAAGAAAAAAAAAAAAGACGGUGACACUUCCUUUUAAUCCCAGCACUCAAGAAGCAGAUCUCUGAGUUCAAGGACGGCCAAGGCUGCACAGAGAAACCCUGUCUCAAAGAGAAAAAAAAGAGAGCGAAUGAAAGGAAGAAAGGAAGAAGGAAAGAAAGAAAGAAAGAAAGAAAGAAAGAAGGAAAGAAAGAGAAAAGAACAAAAACAAAGGAAAUAAGUCAAAAAUAAAAGAAGAUCAGAAGCUGUGUGUGUAGUGAUUCAUGUGAGUUCUAGGACAGCCAGCUUUGUCUGUUAUACAGAACCCCUGGAAUGAGACAGAGACAGAGACAGAGACAGAGACAGAGACAGAGACAGAUACACACAGAGACAGAGAUAUAAGUCCAUCCAAAGACAAUAAUAGCCAGGAAUGAUAAGCUAAGAAUAAAGGUGCAAUGGUGGCUGCAAUCUUUAAGUAAGGUGGGAGGGUGAGGCUUGACUUGCACAGGCUAACAAAAUGGAAAGAGAGCCAGGGUGCUGACAGCAUACAGGGCCUGGAGGAUCUGAGGAGAUGGUAGGAUAAGGAGUGGGGGCUCAGAGGAGACCAAGUGGGAUAGACAGCCACAGAUGAUCUGAGCAGGGGGCUGGUGCAAUUUUGACUCCCGUCUUUAAAGGAUGGCUGUGGAUACUGUGUGGACUGAGAAGGGAGUGAAACAGGGAGACCAGUCAGAAGGACACAAAGAUGAACCACGUGAGAAGUGACCACAGCUUGGGCUUCAACCGUGGUAAAGAAGUGGUGGUCAGAAAUAGGACAGGUGGCCUGGGUUAAUUUACAAAUCGGACAUGGGUCGGAAAAGCCAAAGACAAACGUUCGGGAGUAAACGGCUGGGAAGAUGGAGCCGUUACCAGAAGGGGAAGUUGUGGGGAGAUGAGCACUUUAGUUUGAAUGUGCUGUCUCAGCCAGGGAGGACAGCGAGGGACCGAGAACCAGAAAAGCAGGAUGUGCAGGAAGGUUGCUUAGUUGGACAGGAAUCAUGUCUCCCUUCUUGUCAGAUUUUGCUGCUGUGAAGUGAACGAAGGCCUGGAGACUGACCUAACAGUUUCUUUCCUAACAAUUCAAUUCACUUCAUUACAGACUGUGGCACCCAGGGAGGUUAAAUAUAGAUUUGGCUGUGGACAUACAGGUUAAACCAGAUAGUAAUUUGCUGAGGCCCAGGGCAAAAUGAAAACCCAGGUCUCCUCCUUUGAACAUCAUUAAGAUUCUUCAAGAUGGUGGAAACAGACAAUUAACCUAACACAGGGCCUCAUUUAGCAUUUAUUGGGUCCUCACAGCUUCUUUCCAACACAGCUCUUACUGUCCUGCCUUCUCACAGCAAGAAACUCCAUGAGGACACUGGUAUAACCAAAGUCACAGAGCUAGACUGACGGCAAGAGCUGGGAACCCCGGCCCUCAGCCUCCAAGCCUGGCCCUUCUUGAACUACACAGAGGUAGGUUUCAAGACAUAUGGCUGUCCCACCUGGCCACCCAGCAGGUCUACUUAAGGAGCCGGAUCUUGGCUGUGUCUCUCAGAGACCCAAAUAGACUAGAAGCAUAGGAGGGAAGGAAGUAAACAUUUAGGAACCCCUGGCUGGAGGUCUUCAUGGAGAUAAGAGAGCAGAGGAAACAGCUUAGCCAUGCAGCAGACACGGCUCACUCAAUAACAAAGCUGACUUAAAAAUGAUAGUGUUGUUUGAGGCUAGACUAAGGGGUUUUGUUAUUGGGGUUUUUUUUUUAAUAGUUUUUUAUUUAAAUGUGUGGAGAGGGGGCAGAGGGAGAAGGUAUGGGCCCAUGUGCACCCUGGUACAGACUUCAUACACCAUUUGGAUUCCAGGCAUUGUACUCUGGUCAGGCUUGGCAGCAAGCACCUCUACCCACUGAGCCAUCUCGACAGCCCUAGAUUUAAACUUUCAAUCCUCCUGCCCCAGCCUCCCAGGUGUCUAGAAUUAUAGGCCUGCAUCACUGACUGAUAGAACUUUAGAGCGAGCCCUUAAAGAGGAGCAGGAGAGCCUGCUUUAUUCGUCACCUGCUUAGUCUGUGGUGCUGUGAAAGCCACAGGAGCAGGGUUUAAAGUCACCCAAGAGAGCAAAAGACUUGGGCAGCACCAUCCCCUCACGGGGUAAUCUGGGUAGAGUCACUUAAUUCUUUCCACUCCUUGGUUUCUUUUUCUGUAAAACAGAAUAAUCUGGCGGGUUCUGUGAGGAGUAAGGAGACCAAGAGAGCUCUAUAGGAAGUGAGACACUGUGCAGAUAUGAGGCCCACACAUCUGGGCAGUGCACUGUGUAACUGAAGUGUUCCAGUGAGGCUGGGUCCUGUUCCUAAACACAGCAGGGGGUACAAAAUCCCAGGAGGAGCCUCACUACACAGCCCUGGCUGGCCUGGAAGUCACUAAGUAGACCAGGCUGAGGGGCUGGGGAUUUAGCUCAGUGGUAGAGCGCUUACCUAGGAAGCGCAAGGCCCUGGGUUCGGUCCCCAGCUCCGAAAAAAAAAGAAAAAAAAAAAAAAAGUAGACCAGGCUGGCCCUCCGACUCACAGAAGUCCGCCUGCCUCUGCCUCCUGAGUGCUGGGCGGCAUGUUACUGCACCUUUUCUUGACAAAACUCUUUCUGAAGCUUCCAGUUGUUCCUCAAAGAAUGGCUGGAGCUUCGUUGGCUCUUGCUUCCCUGUCAGCCUGUGGUCAUGUGAUAAUGUGUACUGUCUCUGCUCACACAGAUGCUGCUUGGAACACCAGAUAAUACUCCCUACAGCGUAGGAACAGCUGAAGCCUAGCUUCUAUCUAGCCACCACUACCUUAAAAGGAUACGCACAAACUUUUCACAUUAAACAUGACACUAUAUUGUACACCUGUUCUAUUGUGUGUAUGCAAAUAUUAAAGUAUUUAAUAAUAACUCCGGUAGGCAUCAGUGACUACACCUUAGGGAGUGGCACCCACCUGGGGAAAGACUUUUGCUUCCACCUUAUUAAGUCACCAACAGACCUGUUUCUCCUGAACAAUGGAACUAAUAAUACAUUCUUGGAUCCUCCUACCCCCACACUUCAGGUGGUGGGAGGGUAGCUGAGAGGCAGGGCGCUGGCCUAGGGAGGUACUGAGUUCAGUACCAGCCCCUCCUCACAGGCCGCUCUUUCGCUGUCCUAGAGUGGGGUGGGGGUUGACUGAGGAUGAGCCCCUGCUCCUCUUGACUUUACACUCGCACCUUACACAGCUGACUCAACUCUCGCCUCUCAAGUAUUACAGUGAUGCCUAGUGCCAACCUCAACCAGCGUGACGGCCUCUCUCAUCUUCAGGUAUUCCCUGAUGAUCAUUCUUUGCCAACGAGGAGCUUAAACCCCAGCACAGCUGAGCAGGAGAAGUGCUUGCUAGCCGCCUGGCUGAUCCCCCCCCCCCCCCGCACCAUAUAAAACAGGUGUGAUACCGCACAUCUAUAAUCCCAGGUUCAAGAGGACCAGAGGUUCAAGGCUAACCUUGGCUACCUAGUAUGAAUCCAAGGCCAGCCUGGGCUACAUGAGAUUCCCUCUCAUAAAACCAAAAUAAAACCAAAUGAACAUGGGGGGACAGACAUCGAAACAAGAUAAAGAGAAACAAUCCAAAAGCCUUCUUAAGAGAGGCCUUUCCACACAGCACAGGUUAGCCUUGAGUUCAACCUCCUGACUGCCGAGAGUGCACACAGCAUCACCACACCUGGCCGCCCCAUGACCCUUGAACGGUGAUAUCUCUGUUCUGAGGGGAGAGAUGGAUGCCUAACGCUGCCUCGGGACUGAAAGAUGAAGACAUCGCAUGCUGUAGCCUAUGAAGAGCCUGGCCUUGGCCGUCAUCUGGCACUGGAAGGAAGGCAGAGCUCUCUGUUUGAUAUAGUAUCAUCUUGAAUUUUUUCCUGAUAGGGAUACGUUUUUCACUUUAUUCCACAGAAAUAAUAAUAACUAAUAUGUAUUUAGCCAUUGCUUGCUAUAUCCUUGGCACUGUCUUAUAUAUGUCAUGUAUGAUUUAAAAAAAACAAAAAAAAAAAAACAAAACAACAACAACAAAAAAAAAAAACUCUUGUUAACAUCCUUCAAGGCCGGUACUCUUCUAUAGUGGAGGCCACAGGAGCACAGGAACUAAACACAUGCCCUGUCACACCGCCCCACAUUUCACUCAUUGCUAUGAUAAAACACUCUGACCAAAAGCAACUUAGGAGAAGAAGGGGCUAAUUUUAGCAUCUAAGUCACAGUCCACCCUUGAGAGAAGCAGGGACAGGAACUUGUAGCCAGGCAUGCUUGACAUUACCUCUGACCAGGAAACUCAUACACAGGCAAGGAAGUACAGCAGAAACCAUGGAGGGGUGGAACUUCAGUGGACCAUGCAGACUCAAGCUUAGCUAGCUGCCUUAUACAGUCCAGGAUCACAAGUUAGUCCUACCCACAAUGCACUGGGACCUCUUAUGUCAACUGACCAUCAAGACAUCCCCCACAGAAUGCCCACAGGACCAAUCUGAUCUGGGCAGUUCCUCAAAUGGGCCCUCCUCAGGUGAUCUCAUGACUGUGAAAGCUAAGACAGCAUCCUUUGAGGCUGGCCCUGCCCUUACCUACCCUGCUCUCCUGGUGUUCGAUCCAAUAGGGCAGCAAUAUGUUUUCUUCUUCGUCUCCUUUCGUGGCUCCCCCCCUACCCCCUUUAUGCUUGCUCUUUCUCCGCUCAUUCAUUGACUAUCCUUCUUCUCCCCCCUCCCCCCCCCCCCCCCCCCCCCGGAGCUGGGGACCGAAUGCUGGGGCCUUGCGCUUCCUAGGCAAGCGCUCUACCACUGAGCCAAAUCCCCAACCCCCGUUGACUAUCCUAUACUCGGAACUACGCAGGCCGCAGGCCGCUGGGUACACAAAGGCAACUUUACCCCCCUAAAAACCCGAGCAGAGAAAACUAAGAGGAGAGCACAGCUUUAAGCCCAGAACUUGGUGGAGCAGAUGCAGGUGAGGCUCUGAGUUUGAAGCCAGCCUGGUCUGCAUAAUCCAGGUCCAGGCCAUUCAGAGCUACCCAACAAGAUUGGGGGGGGGGGGGGUUAGAGAAAGAAAGAAAAUGAAAGUAAGGGAAGGGACUGGAGUGUGGCCUAAUGGUGAAGGUCACGCUUAGCAUAUGCAAGGGCCUGUGUUCAAAUCCCAGCACCAUCAAGACCAAACACAACCUUGAAGUAAAGAGGUGAGCACGAGCCCUGGAGAGAUGCUCAGUAGUUAAGAGGGCCUGAGUUCCAUUCCCAGCA